AUCUCUUUGUGAUUUCACAUUUCUACAUUACCUUAUGUUUCUACAUGAACAACCCUUCUUGAAGAGCUAAAUGCCAAUUGUCUAGGAGGAGUUUCUUCAUCUUUGUGUUCAGUUCUUCUGCUGCCAUUUUCUCAGAAUUUGCAGUCAUUUGUUGAAGACCAGUACUUGUUUGGCUAUAUGGAUAUUGGACCUGGACUUUAGAGAUGGGGCACUUGGCAAGACUCCCAGAACAUUCACCCCAUCACUCUGAGAAGAACAAUGAGUGUGGACUACAGAUCCUUUAUUGAAUUUAAAGUUCCCCACAGCGCACUGCUUUUGACAAUCACCCAUGGAACAGAGUACCUUUGUAGAAGUCUGGGAGUCUAGCAGAGAAGUUACAGCACACUGUUGGAGCAAAUAUUCAGAGAAUAAAUGCAUUUAAAAGGGUAAGAAAAACAGUUUUUACUUUACCUACAUCACCCUUCCCCCAGGGUUGUACAGCUCAGUGCCCAGAGAGACCUCCUCAGCUCAUAAUUCUUCCUUAGCCCAUAAAGUGAGAAUGUAGUGCAGAAUACUGCCCAGGAGGCUCACGUCUUUCUUGUCCCACCAAGAAUACUGGGCGGAUUCGCUUGGCUGAGUUGCUAGGAGAGGCUAGGAGCAGUGAAGAGAGGUGGGGACUCACAGCAACUAGGCCUCAAAGUUGAUAAAGGCUGUAUAUCCUACUAACUGCUUCUUGAGUUUUAUAGGGAGACUUGCCCAUGAGCCAGUUGGGAUGCCUUACCUGCAGACCACCCCCAACUCUUGCACAAGAGCUCCCAAUGCUCCAUACAACUCUCCCCUAUAAUUGACUCCCUGAACAUACCCCUCCCAAAUUGCAAGUGGAAGUCUUUGUAGAUGGUUUACAAGAAUGUGCAGUCAGCCAGCUUGAUUCAGCAGGAUUGGGAAAAGAUACAAAAAUUUGAGCUGUCACGGCACCACCCAAAGGAAAACAAAUUGGAGACUUUCAAAACCCAGCCUGGAUUUGUGACAUUGAGAGAAUGCAUAUGAUCUUAAGAUUCCCUUCCACCCCCAAAGAGUGAACAACAGUAGAGUGGGCACAUCCAUAGAAAAUGUUCUAAGAGAGCCUCAGAAUCACUAGCUGGGCUGACUGGUGAAGAUAUUUCUUUCCUAAAGCCAGCCAGUAAAGACUGGAGGAGGUUAUGACUUCUCCAGAUGUGAAGACAGCAAUGCAAGACUUCAAGGAACAUGAAAAACCGAGGGAACAUGACAACAUCAAAGGAACACAGUAAUUUUCCAAUAACUGGCACCAAUGAAAUGAAGUUAUUCCAUUCAAAGAAUUCAAAAUAAUUGUUUUAAGAAAGCUCAGCAAGCUAAAAGAGAAUACAAAUAUACAACUCAAUGAAAACAGGAAAACAGCACAUAAAGAAAAUGAGAAGUUCAACAAAUUACCACAAACAGUGCCUUACCAAGGGUGGGGCAGGACAGGUCCUGUCCUAGAGCAGCAAUGAGGGGAUGCAUUGUCUCUAUAAAGUUGAAAAAUAACAAAACCGACUACAGUUUGGUCUG